GUGAAAGGCCAAUCAAACUUCGUGAUAGCUGGUUCUCUCCGAAAUAUAUUUAGGUAUAGCGUUGUGUCGUAAUAUAAGGGGGUAGAGCACUGAAUGGGCUAGGGCAUACACCAAUGUACCAAACCCUAUCAAACUCCGAAUACCUUAUAUGUAAUCACAGCAGUCAGGCGGCGAGUGAUAAAAUCCGUCGUCAAGAGGGAAACAACCCAGACUACCAGCUAAGGUCCCUAAAUCUUACUUAAGUGGAAAACGAUGUGAAGUUACUUAAACAACCAGGAGGUUGGCUUAGAAGCAGCCAUCCUUUAAAGAAAGCGUAAUAGCUCACUGGUCUAGUGAUUUUGCGCGGAAAAUAUAACGGGGCUAAAGUAAGUACCGAAGCUGUAGACUUGUGCACAACUUAGAUUAUUUAAGUUUAGAAUAUGAGAAACUAAGUUAUAUGUUUAGUUAUAUUUUUACUGAUUUUUAUAGAGUAAAGAUAGAAAUAAAACUUAGUAAAAUCAGUAAAAAUAUUCUUAGACUAAAGUUAAGUAGUUUAAGUUGUGUGCAAGUGGUAGGAGAGCGUUCUAUUUGCGUCGAAGGUAUACCGGUAAGGAGUGCUGGAGCGAAUAGAAGUGAGCAUGCAGGCAUGAGUAGCGAUAAUUAAUGUGAGAAUCAUUAACGCCGUAAACCCAAGGUUUCCUACGCGAUGCUCGUCAUCGUAGGGUUAGUCGGGUCCUAAGUCGAGUCCGAAAGGGGUAGACGAUGGCAAAUUGGUUAAUAUUCCAAUACCAACAUUAGUGUGCGAUGGAAGGACGCUUAGGGCUAAGGGGGCUAGCGGAUGGAAGUGCUAGUCUAAGGUCGUAGGAGGUUAUACAGGCAAAUCCGUAUAACAAUACUCCGAGAACUGAAAGGCUUUUUGAAGUCUUCGGAUGGAUAGAAGAACCCCUGAUGCCAUCGAGCCAAGAAAAGUUUCUAAGUUUAGCUAAUGUUGCCCGUACCGUAAACCGACACAGGUGGGUGGGAUGAGUAUUCUAAGGCGCGUGGAAGAACUCUCUUUAAGGAACUCUGCAAAAUAGCACCGUAUCUUCGGUAUAAGGUGUGGUUCGCUUCGUAUUAGGAUUUACUCCGAAAGCGAAGAAACUUACAACAAAGAGUCCCUCCCGACUGUUUACCAAAAACACAGCACUCUGCUAACUCGUAAGAGGAUGUAUAGGGUGUGACGCCUGCCCGGUGCUCGAAGGUUAAUUGAUGGGGUUAGCAUUAGCGAAGCUCUUGAUCGAAGCCCGAGUAAACGGCGGCCGUAACUAUAACGGUCCUAAGGUAGCGAAAUUCCUUGUCGGUUAAAUACCGACCUGCAUGAAUGGCGUAACGAGAUGGGAGCUGUCUCAAAGAGGGAUCCAGUGAAAUUGUAGUGGAGGUGAAAAUUCCUCCUACCCGCGGCAAGACGGAAAGACCCCGUGGACCUUUACUACAGCUUGACACUGCUAUUUGGAUAAGAAUGUGCAGGAUAGGUGGGAGGCUUUGAGUAUAUGACGCCAGUUGUAUAUGAGCCAUUGUUGAGAUACCACUCUUUCUUAUUUGGGUAGCUAACCAGCUUGAGUUAUCCUCAAGUGGGACAAUGUCUGGUGGGUAGUUUGACUGGGGCGGUCGCCUCCCAAAUAAUAACGGAGGCUUACAAAGGUUGGCUCAGAACGGUUGGAAAUCGUUCGUAGAGUAUAAAGGUAUAAGCCAGCUUAACUGCAAGACAUACAAGUCAAGCAGAGACGAAAGUCGGUCUUAGUGAUCCGGUGGUUCUGUGUGGAAGGGCCAUCGCUCAAAGGAUAAAAGGUACCCCGGGGAUAACAGGCUGAUCUCCCCCAAGAGCUCACAUCGACGGGGAGGUUUGGCACCUCGAUGUCGGCUCAUCGCAUCCUGGGGCUGGAGCAGGUCCCAAGGGUAUGGCUGUUCGCCAUUUAAAGCGGUACGCGAGCUGGGUUCAGAACGUCGUGAGACAGUUCGGUCCCUAUCUGCCGUGGGCGUAAGAAGAUUGAAGAGAUUUGACCCUAGUACGAGAGGACCGGGUUGAACAAACCACUGGUGUAGCUGUUGUUCUGCCAAGAGCAUCGCAGCGUAGCUAAGUUUGGAAAGGAUAAACGCUGAAAGCAUCUAAGCGUGAAGCCAACUCUAAGAUGAAUCUUCUCUAAGCUCUCUAGAAGACUACUAGUUUGAUAGGCUGGGUGUGUAAUGGAUGAAAGUCCUUUAGCUGACCAGUACUAAUAGAGCGUUUGGCUUAUCUUUAAUAAAGCAU
rnacentral:rRNA from 1 species